rnacentral:misc_RNA from 1 species
AUGCAAUCAAAUUUGGAAAUUAAGAAGUUAACAAAUUCAAAGAGUGGAAACGUGAUACGGAAAACGCACUUAGGAUGUUCAGCGAUGGUGAAACACAAGUUUGGUAUCGUAUCGAAGAAGCAACAUCAGGUACUUUAUCAAUAGUUUGAUGGAAUUUAUACACUCUGCUAUUCUAUUAGAUGGGUCCAAGUACACACAAAAGCUCAAAGUUUUUAUGGAGAUCGAAGACAACACUUCUUAUGAAAGAGCCCCGAAAGAAAAAAACGGCGAAUGCGUGGAGAAGAAAGUAAAGACCCUAAUAUGCAGUCACAAAUUUCACCAUCAAUGUAUAACAACAUGUCUAAUUUGUAGAACUCAAUCAUUUUAACCUUGGAUACUUUAUGUUAUUCAAUAAAGCAUCAUGUUUUCAUA